CUGCACAAAAAAUCAAGCUGGGGGGUUCCCUGGUCCCUGGCGAUGGGGCGGGGAGCGCGGCGCCAGGGGAGGGGGCGGGCGCGGCAGCGCGGGCCCCGCCGAGAGGGGACACCUGGCUGAGGCACAGCUGCUGCCCGCCGCGCCGCGCCGCUCCGCGCGAACCCAGGGCUCCGGUCCCUGCGCGGGCUCGAGAGCUCGCCCAGACCGGGGGUCUGCCUCCUCCGCCGUUGACAGGUGAAUAACAACAAAAUGAAGACCAUAAUAAAACAAGCCCCCUACUUAGCCCUGCAAUUCUUACCUUUCUUACCUACUUGAUGAAGAUGUCAUUUGAAUUGGUGUACUGCAAGGAAUUAAAUGCUGUUUGUAAAUUAUGCUUUUACCAAGGUUUAAGUUGAUGCCAAAUAAUUCCAAUAUUGAGCAUCUUAAAUCUGUUACUUGGAGUAUGGAUUGAGUUUGGAGCUAACUCAGAGGACUACAGGCAAGUAUUCAGGAGGUAGUCAGAGGGAUAUCUUAAUAGUUGAACAAUUCAGCUUGCAUACUAUAUUCAAAUUCAGAUCUCUUAAGAUCAC